rnacentral:ncRNA from 2 species
CUGAAUAUGUCGGGAAUAGGUACUUUGAAUAAGAUGUUCAAAGUUUAAAAGGGAAUUUGGUGUAAAUCCAAAGCGGUCCCGCCACUGUCAUUGCUGAGUCAUGAUCAAAAUGCCACUCGUUUUCACGGGGAAGGCGAUCAUGGUGUUGAAGCAUAAGCCAGGAGACCUGCCUAUUCUAACAACACUAC